ACUUAAAAAAAACAAAAAAAAAAAACCCCGGCCUCUCCUCCCUCAACGUCUCUCUCACCCAGCAACCUGUCUCUCUCACGCAGCAACCCAUCUCCCUACUCCCUCUCUCUCUCUCUUCGCCGCAGCAUUCGAGUUCGAGGAAUGAUAAACAAGUCACCGACGAUUCGCGAGGAAGAUGAACCGAGUCAGUAGUCACCGAGCAGGCGAGCCGUCGAGGCGUCGAGCACCGAGGAAGAGGAGGAGCCACCGUUUUCAUCAUUUAAAUUCUAGCCGAGCACCGUCGAAGCCCGAUUCAGCAAUCGAGCACCGGCGACUCGGCGAGCCGUCGAGGCGUCGAGCACCGAGGAAGAGGAGGAGCCGAGCACCAAGGAUUGAGAAAGCCCGAUUCAGCAAGACAGCAACCGUGACUCGUGAGGGAAACUUGAGGAAAGCAACUCCCCAACGAGCACAGAAGGUGCAAUAUAAGCAAUCAAGCAGGCGGUUCGUCGUUAGAGCAUCUACGAACCAAAUUGCCUUUGACCAGGAUUCGAGGGCAGCUCUUUAAGCUGGAAUUGACAAACUUGUUGAUGCUGUUGGACUUACCCUUGGACCUAGAGGGAGAAAUGUUGUUUUGGAUGAGUUUGGGACCCCAAGAGUAGUUAAUGAUGGAGUUACUAUUGCUCGAGCUAUUGAGCUGGGUGAUCCAAUGGAGAAUGCUGGUGCUGCUUUGCUUAGAGAGGUCGCCAGUAAAAUAAAUGACUCUGCUGGCGAUGGAACUACAACUGCCUAAGUUCUUGCUCGUGAGAUUAUCAGACAAGGUCUGCUGAGUGUUACCUCUAUUGCUAACCCAGUAUCUUUGAAAAGAGGAAUUGAUAAAACUGUUCUAGGAUUAAUCGAGGAACUUGAAAAGAGAGCCAGGCCCCUCAAUGGUCGUGAGGACAUCAAAGGUACUACUAGAAACUGUUGAAUAGUAUGGUGACUGAUCUAUACUAUCAUGCAAAUCAAGUGUGUUUGAAAGUAGUAAUACAUAGUCCUUUGUUUUGAUGGAAAGGGAAUGUAAUGGGUAGGAAAAGGCUUUACCUCCUUUACAUGUCCUUUACUUUGGCGAUCCGUUUUGGUAUGAGGCUUUAGCUUGGGGUAUUGGUUAAUUGAUUUUGUGUGUGAUUUAAAAAACUACUUUGUGGGUAUUUUUGCAUCUGUAUGCAUAUAUCCAUUUUAAAUGGAGAGACUUCACCCUUGCCUAUUAAUUUUGGGCCAAAUAUGCCCUAUCGUAAUUGCCAUGAAA